rnacentral:rRNA from 1 species
AGCCCCAAGCGUUAUCCGGAAUUAUUGGGCGUAAAGGGUGCGUAGGCGGAUUAGUUAGUCGUCCGGUAAAAGCCCAGGGCUCAACCCUGGGUCUGCCGGCGAAACGGCUAGUCUAGAGAUAGUCAGAGGUACAUGGAACUCAUGGUGUAGGGGUGAAAUCCGUUGAUAUCAUGGGGAACACCAAAGGCGAAGGCAAUGUACUGGGGCUUUUCUGACGCUGAGGCACGAAACCCUGGGGAGCGAAGCGG